rnacentral:rRNA from 1 species
AAAACUUUCAACAACGGAUCUCUUGGUUCUGGCAUCGAUGAAGAACGCAGCGAAAUGCGAUAAGUAGUGUGAAUWGCAGAAUUCAGUGAAUCAUCGAAUCUUUGAACGCACAUUGCGCCCCUUGGUAUCCCGAGGGGCAUGCCUGUUCGAGCGUCAUUUC